rnacentral:lncRNA from 1 species
GCCAUGGGAUAUUGGAUACACAAUGGUGCGGCAUUAUCCAAACCCGAGGCAGCAAGCUCCUUGAGCGUACGGUUGUCCAUGGCUAUACCUUGCUCUUCUCCACCCACUUGUGCCGUGGGAUCCUCCUUGUGCUGUUGUUUCCUCCUUCUUCUCAAAGUUCUCUCGAAGUUGUCGUCAAAGUCUAAGAUAUGCUCAUGAACAGGUCGGGAACUUCAAGUCAUGCACUAGUACCUAAAAACAAAGAAAACAAAACAAAUCAGCAACUUAAACAGAAACUUAAACAAAAUACAAUAAUUCGAAAGAAAACAAUCCAAGAGAUUAGCAAAGUUGCUAAUCCCCGGCAACGGCGCCAAAAAUUUGAUGUGAAAAAUAAGUGAACACACAAAAUUAAACCCUCUUUUUAUCAAUUGUAGCAAAGUAUGUAAGUAGGGAUCGUUCUAAACCGGGGAUUAUGAGGGAUUGCUAAACACUUGAAAACUGACUUAGAAAUGUAAAAACAAAGUUUAAAACACUAGAUUAGACUCAAAGAAUGCAAAACUCACGUUUUAAAAAACUAAAAUAAACCAAUAACUCAAAACAGCAACUAAAAGACUCAAAACUGCC